UACGUAGGGGGCAAGCGUUGUCCGGAAUCAUUGGGCGUAAAGCGCGUGUAGGCGGGUCGGUAAGUCCGCUCUGAAAGCCCGGGGCUCAACCCCGGGAGGCGGAUGGAUACUGUCGACCUCGAGUCCGGAAGAGGCGAGUGGAAUUCCUGGUGUAGCGGUGAAAUGCGCAGAUAUCAGGAGGAACACCAAUGGCGAAGGCAGCUCGCUGGGACGGUACUGACGCUGAGACGCGAAAGCGUGGGAGCGAACAGG
rnacentral:rRNA from 1 species